GUAAAUCUUCGGGGCAGGGUGAAAUUCCCGACCGGCGGUAUAGCCCGCGAGCCGCGCAUGCGGUCGAUUUGGUGAAAUUCCAAAGCCGACAGUGAAAGUCUGGAGGGGAGAAGAUUUUC
rnacentral:ncRNA from 2 species